rnacentral:lncRNA from 1 species
UGUAAUACUGGCAGCAGGAAAAUCAUAAGCAAGUCUGAACUCAUACUGUCGGAUUGGAAAUAUUCAAAAGCGAUUAAGUAUCAGGGAAAAUGACUAUAACUGAUUCUACAAUCAAGGCUGAGGACAACACCAGUGAAAAAGGUCAUAUCAUACUCCAAUUUGUGCGUACAUCCUAUAACGAUCAAGAAGCGGGUCAAUGAAAUGAGAGAUGAUCACCAGGUUACUAGAUCAAUAAGAAUGAGUGAUAUUCUUGAACCAAGAGAUAUCAGCUACAAAGCCACUUAACAAAAUAGCCUCCAUAUCAUAUGCUUUCGCACCUAAAGAACUGGCACUGCAUGAAGAUGAACACGAGCUAGAAAAUAGCUUCAACCCUAUGAAAUAAAAAAAAGGAUCAUCAAAGAUAACCAAAUCCAGAAUCUACUUACCUCCAUAGCCUAUAGUAUACAAAAACCAUCAAUAAUCCCAUUAUCUAUUUUACUAUAUAACACCAACUCCCUUAAUAUCUCAAUGCAUGAGGUGUGUCAGACCAUCAAUGUUUCCCCACCCAUGUUCCAUGUUUGCGUUUUCCCUUCAGUGCGGCUGUUACCAACAAGAUCAAAAAGUCCGAGUCCUUCCUCAUCAAAAAAUAAUGUGCAUCCCAUAUGCCGCAUCCUUGAUAAACAAGCAAUCAAGAAAGCAGGUCAGUUUCAUCAGGUUAUUUCCAGUCUAGUCUAGAAUCAACACCAAACGAAGCUUCAUCUUAACAACUACGUACACCGUAACUAAUGGGUAGCCCUUACCGUCUUUCUACAAUCUCCGAUUGGAAAUCCCUCAUUACAUUAGAACUGCACCUCAACAGCGAAAGACUUAUGUCNNNNNNNNNNNNNNNNNNNNNNNNNNNNNNNNNNNNNNNNNNNNNNNNAACCAGCUCACUAACGUCGCCACUUCAGACAAGGAAUUUGGUUUGACAUCUUCCUAGUUUACUCGGCUGAACGAACAGGUCUAAAUGGGUGGUAAGCCCGAAAUGUCACCCAAAAUAGAAUCCAUUCUGUGAUGGAAAUAAUAAUAAAUUAUUCUUCAACUCUGUAAUGUAACACUGUAGAUAGAGAGAGAAACAUAGCACAAUCAAAUUCAUAUGUAAAACAACCUAUCGCCCAGGACACCCGUUUACUAGGAAGAUAAGAAUCAAAAAGGAUUGAACUACUAACUCAUUACUCAGAGGUGAAUCAUAUAACAUCAAAAGCUGUGGUAUCUUGUGGACCUAACCCUCACAACAUAAACUGAAAGAUGCAUACCCUUCUCUCCAAAGUGGAUCAAGAAAAUUUCUUUCUUAAUAACUCCCCCAUGUUGCCUUCGCUGAUCAAAAUGAGGUGCUCUGAAAAGCAAAUAACAGGGUUGCUAAGAUAAUAACACAAAACAAAAACCUCGAUACUGAGAAUAAAGUUUCACAGAUUCUAAAUUAAGAUUGCAAAUGGAAAUUAGGAACACAAAGGUAUAUAAAUAAGAACUAUGAUAUUAGAAACAGACUAUUCCAGAAGGGUAAAUUUGUAAUUUACAGCACAAACUCUGCAACAGAACAAAUAAUAAAUUAACCUCCACACUUUGAACAGCUAGUGCAAGAAAGAAUAGAAAUAUUAACUCCACUAUCAAACAUGACACACCCCCUUUAUCAUUUCAUUCCUCCAAACUAUUUUCCAUUAUCAGAUCAAGAGUACCUUUGAGCAAGAAUGCCCCAAAUGCACAAGCUCUUCUGCAACGCUCAUGAGGUUGAAGAACCCCCUACAUAAAAAAAAACAUACCUUCUCUCAUCCACCCAAAAUGUCUCGAGCGCUCAAGGAAGGCAAACAAAAGGGAGAAGCUCACCAGGUCACUAAUGCAACAGGGAUGAAUGAGAUCGUGAAAAAUAGAUGAAACUAAGAAACUUGAUACAGCAUAUCAGCUGCAAAACCACUUACCAACAUAGUAUGUGUUAUUUCCAACAUGCUUGACUCCUAAAGAAUUUGUGGAAGCAAGAAAGCAACAUCAUGGAAAACCCUUUCUUAAUCCCAGUUAAUCAUACUUUCAGUGCUUAGAACAAAGAUUGACAAAUUAUAAAUUAAUCUUGAAAAUGGCCAACUAUAAAUAUGGACAAACCCUUCUACAUGGGCAAAAUCAUAACCUGCAGCAGAAGUUACCGCCACAGCACAAACCAUAUAGUAACUUUCACCAUUCCCCAUGAACAGCUAGUAUAGGAAAAAGUAGUAUAAUACCUCCACUAUCAAAGAUGAGAAACCCCCUUAAUAAAAAAUUAUAUCACUAUGAUCCAUUUCCUUCGAACUGUCUUCCAUUAUCAGGUAAAGAUGCCCUUGAGCAAGAUCACCUGAUGUUGUACAAGCUCUUCUGCGACAUCAGAAAUAACAAACCUAUGACGUGAACUUUAAGUUUGAGAAAAAAAUAGAAAUAUUAUCAAUUCUAUCAUAAAGGUUGAGGAACACCCUCCAUCAAAAGAGCAUAUCAUGAUCCAAUCCCCCAAGCUAUCUUGAGAGCCGAUGGUUCUGGCCAAACAAAUGAGAGAACAUCACCAGGUCAUUAAUAACACAAAGGACAUUUCUGGAACACAGAUAUGAAACUCGAUACAGCAUAUAAAAAGCAGAUCCACUUAUCGAGAUCAUUACUGUCAGGCCCCACAUGCUGUGACCCCUAGAUUAUCAGUGGAAGUGAGGAACCUCGUCAUGAAAAAUCCUUUCUUAACCCUAAUCCUCUAGUAUUGCCUUCACUGAUCAAAUCAAGGUUCUGGUGAAGCAAAUAAAAAGAUUUCUAAAAUACUAACCCAAAUUGCUAAGAUACUAAUCAAAAGAAACACCUAUUAAAAAAAAGGUAAUUAGGAACAUAAAGGCAUCAAAUACUAACUAUGAUAUAAAUAAGGGUGAACCCUUCCAUAUUGGCAAAUAUGGGGAAAAAUUGUAUCCUGCAGCACAAGCUAAUCUGCAACAGCACAAAUAAUAAAUUAACCUUCAUGGUUCCACAUGAACAGCUACUGCACAAAAAAGCUAGCAUAAUGAGCUCCCCGAACAUGGAUUAGAAAUUCUAUUCAUUAAAAAAAAAUCACAGCAUUACACUCCAUUUCCUCUAAACUUUCUUCAAUUAUCAGACCAAGAUACCCUUCAGCAAGAUUGUCCCAUGUUGCAAAAGCUCUUCUGCAACAUCACAAAUAACAAACUAAGAAAGACAUGAACUAAAAGCAUAAGGGGAAAAAAAAUACUACGAUCAAUUCAAUAAUCAAAGGGAGGAAACCCCUCAUGAAAAAACAAAUAUACUCCAAUGCAGCCAUAGCAUAUUGAGAACUCACAGUGCUGGUCAAACAAAUGAGAGAAUCCCCAGGUUACUAAUGCAACAGGAAAUCAUGAAACAACUGCCAACAUCAAUCACAAAAUGAUAAACUGCAUGAGAUUAACCAAGAAAUCAAGAUUAUGCCAAACUGACCCGAACUUCCCACUUCGGGGCAUCUCGAACUGGUGAGAAACCAAGUCAAUUUGGCCUCUUGAUUGGGAAACCACUGUGAACCGGCUCGAACUAAACCAAGCGGAACCAUUAGGUUUUGCUCGGUUCAGAGAACAUGUGACCAAAAAAGAGAGGAAAGGCCAUGAGAUACCAUUCUCCUCUCUAUUCUUCAAAAAUUGUGAAGGAAAGGUAGGUUCUGUGAGAACAAACCCUUAAGGCAAAUUCGUGACCUACAGCUGAACAGCACAAAGAAUAAAUUAAAAAUACACACUUUCCCUCGAACAGCUAUUAUAAGAGAAAAUGUAUAACUCCAGUAUCACAGAUGAGAAACCCCCUUCAUAAAAAUCAUAUCAUUAUAUUCCAAGUCCUCCAAACUGUCUUCCAUCAUCAGAUCAAGAUGCCUUUGAGCGAGAUUGUCAAAUGUCGCACAAGCUCUUCUGCAACAUCCGAAAUAACAUACUAAACAAGUAUCAAAGCAUAAGAGUAAAAAAAAUGUAGUAGAACAAGUUCUACAAUCAAGGUUCAGGAAACCCUCCAUGAAAAAUACAUAUCAUGCUCCAAUCCACCCAGACUGUCUUGAGCACUCAGGUCCCCACUAUCCCACCGGUAUUUAAAACCUUGGUACUGGUCAAACAAAUGAGAGGAAGUCACAAGGUUACUGGAACAACAGGAAUGAAUGAGAUUUAACAAGACUUUGGAACAUAGAUAUGAAACUUAGUGCAGCAUAUCAGCUGCAAAACAACUUAUCAACAUAGAAUCCAUCUUGUUCCCAGCAGAAGUGAGUCUCCAUAUUGCCUCCCUGAUCAAAACAAUAUUCUGGUGAAGCAAAUAGAAAGAAUUAUUAAGAUGUCAACCCAAAGGAAUAAAACCAACUAGUGAAAUAAAAGGGGUAAUCAGGAACAUAAAGGUAUCAAACAAUAAGUACAACAUAAACAAGGACAAACUCUUCCAUAUGGGCAAAACUCUGUCUUACAGCACAGGCUCAUCUGCAACAGAACAAAUAGUAAAUUUACUUUCAUGAUUCCACACGAACAUCUACUGUAGGGAAAAGCUAGUACAACAAACUUUUCAUAUCAAGAUACCCAUAAGCAAGAUUAUCCCAUGAUGCCCAAGAUCUUCUGCAACAGCUGAAGUACAAACUGACCUACCACAUGAACUCCAGGUGUAAGGAAAAAAAUUAAUUAAACCAAAUUCUAAGUCUAGGUUGAGGAACUCCAUGAAUGAAAAAGCAUAUCAUACUCCAAUUCACCCAGACUACAUUAAGCAUUCAAGUUACUGGUCAAACAAAUGAGAGGAAAACAUCAAUGCAAUAGGAAUGAAUGAGAUUUUGGAACACAGAUGAAACUAAGAAACUUGAUACAGCAAAUCAGCUGCAAGUAUUUUCAUUAGCAACCUUGUCCAUCAACCUAGAUGUUCUCUUACAGCACAAGCUCUUCUGCAAUAACAGAAAUAAUUAACCUUAUAAACAACAUGGUUAGAGAAAAAUUAAUAAAACCAAAUAGUGAGGAAACCCUACAAAUUGCCUUCACUGGUUCUAGUGAAACAAAUGUAAGAAUCAAUAAGCUAAUAACCCAACACAUAUGAUUAACAGUAUGGAACGAAGAUGAAAUUAGAAUAAUGUGCAUCAAAUAUUAACUCAUUUAUCCACUGUUGGAGUCAUUUUGUUUCCAACAUGCACCAAGUAGGACUCCCAUGGAGCCGGAGACUAGGACCUAAACAAUGAAAAUGAGACUGUUUACAAGUAACUGAACCCAGAAUUUUACAGAAUUUGAACAAAUGUGCAUCGAGAAUUAAGUCCUGCUCGAUUCAUUUUGUUUCCAAGACGCACCAGCACUACAAGGAGUCAAACAUUAGGACCUACAUGAAAAUGAAACUGGUUGCAAGAUAAUUUUUACAGAAUUUGCCUUGAUCAAUAAGGAACAUAUUCUCUUAUUUCAUGCUGAACCAGCAUUGAUAAAAAGUCAAUUAAGAAGACAGAAGUCAACAAACAAUAGCCACAAUAUAAACAGUCAUGCAAAUUGCUUACCAUAACAUAAGAUCAGCAAAAGCAACAAAUAUAACAGCUUAACCUUAUCACAUCAACAGCAGUCCAAUUCCCCAUAUCUCAAAUGACCGAAUCAGGGUACUGGUGAAACGAACUGGAGAAAACAAUUAAACCACUAACCAAAAGGAAUUAUUGCCACCUUAAAACAAAUUUAACCCACAGAUACCUCAAUUACAUGUAAAAGCUACAAAAUCACUAAUAGACAGUGUCAUUCAAAACGCUCCCAGGAUGUACUGAAUCCUACAAUCUGUCAGAUAUGAAAAGAUGACCAGAGAUAGCGUAUUAGAAGAUAAUAAAGCUCCUUAAAAACAAACCAAAUCAGAAUUCUCCGGAUUUGACCGAAUCCAAAACAUGAACUAACUAAUUAUAAAGCAGAUUCAACAAAAGGCAAUAAGGAAGACAAUGUUUCAUAAACAAUAGCCACAAAUAUAAAGAAUGGCUUAACUUAGUGGGUCCCUAGAUCCCUUAAGCAAGACUAUUUCAAACACUACAAGCCCUUCAACAGAGAUAAUAAAUUAAUGUUUCACAUUACUCCUCGCACACGUCAAAGAAUUAAAAUUUGCCAAACAGCUACAACUGAAAGUUCGGGUAAUCGCAUAAGCUGUUAAAAUGAGGGCAUGACUAGAUGGAGGAAUAAUUCCACAAAACAACUGAAAUACAAACAUCCCUCAAAUACUAGAUAACAGUGAAAACAAGACAUAUAUGUACUACAAGAAAAGUGAUUAUAAAGAACCUUGAAGGAGUUACCAUAGAUUAAGAUUGGCAGUUGAUGAUGCUAUUAAACAUAUACCAAGUAUGGCAUCUCCACAAGAGGAAAUCUGAUAGCAAAAACAACAGAUGUGAUGGGCCUUAUGGUGGACAAAAUUGAUGAAAUGUUGUGUAACAGGUGAACUACAACCAAAAAUUGAGAUCUUACUACUCCCAAAGCUAUCAACUGGAAGAAGCAAGGUCAACAGACUAUAAGAUCAACCUGCAAACCACUACCAUUAGCUCGUUAUGAACAUGGUCAUGACUAGAUGAAACGAAUUUGCAGUUAAAAAAAAAGAAAUAAAAAUUCGCAAACUUUCUAUUUACCACACGAGCAAGUAUAGGGACAAGUACACAACCAAGACUUUCGGAGAACCAACCAAAAAGCCAAGAGCAGGUUAUCUCAGACAGGAGUCACAGGACCCUAAUCAUUGAAUAACAGCAAACAAUUAGGAUAAAGGAGGAAGCAAAUGAUAUCUAAAGGAAGAAAUAACCCUGAUUUUCUGGCCCUCAGCAAUUGCCAAGCUCAAGCUCUUGCAAAUACGACAAAAAAAACACAACAAUAAUACACAUCUAACCCACGGAAUAUGAAUAAUUUCAAGUACCAAAGUAGUCGCUCUGUCAGCAAAUCAUCUCUGCUUUUUGCUCUAAGCACUCGACCGGUAGACUGAGUAGCAACAAGAAUGGUGAAAGAGAUGGUGGAUGAGUCCCAUAUAAUAGAUAAUCAGAACCUGAAAUACCUUGCAUCUCUGGAGCCAUCCAACAACUCCAACCCAUCGAACAUGAUGUUCAUUAUAUCCUUACAAAUACUACAGCAAAAGCACCAAACACUCAAUAACACAAACGAACAAAUGAAUAAGACAUUUACAGCUUCAUAAUUGCUCCUCUAAAUGCUCUGAAUCAUGAAAAGCGAACACAAUCAAUUCGUCAGUUGAUCCUAAAUGAUCACAUGAUUAGAGUACUAGAGAAACCCAACCUUGAAUUCCAGCCUCUGCAUCAUAUUUCAUGAAUCCAUCAUUAAGAAAUCGCUUGAUACUGGUAAAACGAGGUGAAUUGAGCGGUAUAACCUGAAGUAACAACGGAAUAAAGAGCAGAGGAAAUAUAUCCUAAGCAGCCACAGAAGAUGAGUAAAGAUCAGAAGAAACUAUUAUGCCGCCACGGUGCUUGCCAACAGUAUACGAUAGCUCUGAUCAGGUAGUGCAAUUUGUUGCCACAACAAAUCCUACCGCAGCCAAAUAGAAGGAUUUCAACAAACACAAGAAGUGGAAAAAAUCAUCUCACUGAUCACAUAUUGCUUCUCUGAAUCAAACCAAUUGAUCAAAUCACAUUAUCUGAACAAAAUGAAAAUAAUCAAAGGAAAAGAAACCCCCUUCAAAACAAAACCAAUGUGGACACCUGCUUUAACAUCAUCUCUUUGAGUUGAAUUACUUGGAAAACAAGGGCAGCCUUCUCAAAAAUUGGAACCUAGAGAAACCAUCAAGAAUCAAAAACCAUGAUUAGAUUAAGCAUCAAAAUUAGAAAUCACUGUCACACUGCACAAUAAUAUUUUCAUCAUGUUUCAAACCAACUAAUCAAACCACCAAGUAAUAAAGAAACCCCCUUCACAAGAACUUCCGGCCUCUAAAUCAAGCCUCUUAUGUCCAACAUCAGAAUAUGGAAACCAAAAUAACACCGUCUUAGAAUCAGAAACAUUCUCCGAAACAUAGAAACUGCUUCCUUGAUGAUUUCACACCGAAAAUAUUAUUAAAACAAAUACUGAAAACUCGUAACCCCAGCACCAGUGCUUCAACCGAAUAAAAGAAAAUCAUGAAGUAAAUCUGAACUCGGACUGUCAGAUUGGCAAUACGCAAAAAUCCAAUCAGAAUACACCACAGCUGAUUCCUGCAGAUUAACGAUGGAGCACCCCCAAUACCAGAAGAAAGAAACCUGAACCACUUGGAUUCUUUUCUAGUAAAAAAAAGAAACUAAAUCACAAGAGACCAGAUUCAAUCGUCAAAUCCUCAAACAAGAACAAACAGCUAACAAUUCUGCGAACCCUAAAAACCAAGUCGCAAAAAAUUCCUUAAUUACUGCAAAUCUUCAACUUGAAUUUCAGCCUCUGAAUCAUGCUUAUCUUGUCCAUNNNNNNNNNNNNNNNNNNNNCCUCUGAAUCAUGCUUAUCUUGUCCAUCACCGUAAGAUGGAAUUUAAAGUAACAUUGAAUUGGCAUCAGGAACAUCUCUUUUGAGACAUCCAGAAACCACUAAUCAGGCUGCAAAAUAAUGCUUGUGUGAUGCUUUCAAACUGAAAAUAGAAUUAUCAAAAUGAAUACCAAAAACUGUAAUACAGGCAGCAGGAAAAUCAUAAGCAUGUCUGAACUCAUACGGUCGGAUUGGAAAUAUUCAAAACUGAUUAUUACACAUUACAACAAAUACCUGUAGAUUAACAAAAGAGCACACCCAGAUCCAACAAAAAAAAAAAACUCAAUCCACUGGAAUUCUUUUCAAAAAGAAAAAAGUCACAUGAAACCAGAUUCGAUUGCCAAGUCAAAAAGACUACUGCAAAUCUUCAAGAAACUCACUACCUUAUUAAAUGCAAAUCUUCUAGAAAUCUACAUCCACUUGCAAGCAAAAAUAGAGUAAAACCGUCAAUAAUCUUGAUACUGAUAAUGAAAUUAAGAAGCCAGCAGUCUGUAAAUAAUUAAAAUAUAAUGAAAUCGCAUAAGCCAGUGAGCCCCUUCCAUUCAUCGGCUGAAAUGUCACCAAUAGUACUACCGUCAUCAUCGACAGUUGCUUCAUCGCUUGGAUUCCCCCAUGGUGCCUUCACUGAUCAAAUCAAAUUUCUGGUGAAGCAAAAGAGAGAAAUACUGACCCAUAUCAAAAGUUACUCACUCACUCAGCAAUAGCAGCUAAAAUGUAACAGCUACUAAGUCACUCAGCAGUAGCAGAAUAUAUAUCAAUUCCCAUACACACCAAUGCAAGAAAAAUCACUGCUUUACUUGGAUUGCUCCAUUCUGCCUUCACUGAUCAAAUCACAGUUCUGGUAAGGCAAAUGACAGGAUUGCCAAAGAUAACAAAAUAUUUAAGUAAUUGGAACAAGUAUGAAAAAAAACAAACCCAGAUUAAAGGUAGCAGCUACUAUUAUAUCGGUUCUAAGACACGCCAGAGCCUACAAAAUAUAGUAGCGCGAUUAUCAAGACAAGCAAUAUAGUGCAAAUGCAACAGGAAGAAAAUGAAGCCCAUUACAAAUCAUAAUCCAGCAUUUUCCAAAAUAUACCAAGGGACCAGAAACAUUAAGAGAACACAAGCUAAUAAUGGAAAAAGGCGAUUAUUAGGUACACAAAUGCACGUAAACAAUGACUAGGAUUUAAAGGACAAACUCUGCUCUUCGCCUUGGAAAAAUUGCAUGCUGCAACAUAAGCACAAAUCAAUCUUCCAUGUGAAUAGUUUGUGUAGGAAAAAAAAUAUCGCAAACUCCCAAAGCGAGCCCCCUUAAUAAAAAAUCGCAACAUUACACUCCAGUCUUUCAUAUAGUCUUCAAGAUCAAGAUACCCUGAGAAUGAUUGUUUCCCUGUUGCACAAGCUUUUCUGCAACAACAGAAAUAACAAGUUAUCUUAUCACACAAACUUUAUGUAUCAGAGAAAAAUACUAUAACUGAUUCUACAAUCAAGGCUGAGGACAACGCCAGUGAAAAAGGUCAUAUCAUACUCCAAUUUGUGCGUACAUCCUAUAACGAUCAAGAAGCGGGUCAAUGAAAUGAGAGAUGAUCA